rnacentral:snRNA from 1 species
GUGCUCGCUUGGGCAGCACAUAUACUAGAAUUGGAACCAUACAGAGAAGAUUAGCAUGGCCCCUGCGCGAGGAUGACACGCAAAUUCAUGAAGCGUUCCAUAUUUUU